GACGAACGCUGGCGGCGUGCUUAACACAUGCAAGUCGAACGAAGUGGCGAACGGGUGAGUAACGCGUAAUCAACCUGCCCUUCAGAGGGGGACAACAGUUGGAAACGACUGCUAAUAUCGCAUACUGAAGGAGGGGAUUGCGUCUGAUUAGCUAGUUGGAGGGGUAACGGCCCACCAAGGCGAGGAUCAGUAGCCGGGCUGAGAGGAUGAACGGCCACAUUGGUACGGAGACACUGCCCAGACUCCUACGGGAGGCAGCAGUGGGGAAUCUUCCGCAAUGGACGAAAGUCUGACGGAGCAACGCCGCGUGAGUGGUGACGGCCUUCGGGUUGUAAAGCUCUGUUAAUCGGGACGCGGUACCGGAAUAGAAAGCCACGGCUAACUACGUGCCAGCAGCCGCGGUAAUAC
rnacentral:rRNA from 1 species